GAUGAACGCUCGCUACAGGCUUAACACAUGCAAGUCGAGGGGCAGCAUGAACUUAGCUUGCUAAGUUUGAUGGCGACCGGCGCACGGGUGAGUAACACGUAUCCAACCUGCCGAUGACUCGGGGAUAGCCCUUCGAAAGAAAGAUUAAUACCCGAUGGCAUAGUUCUUCCGCAUGGUAGAACUAUUAAAGAAUUUCGGUCAUCGAUGGGGAUGCGUUCCAUUAGGUUGUUGGCGGGGUAACGGCCCACCAAGCCUUCGAUGGAUAGGGGUUCUGAGAGGAAGGUCCCCCGCAUGGGAACUGAGACACGGACCAAGCUCCUGCGGGAGGCAGCAGUGAGGAAUAUUGGUCAAUGGACGGGAGUCUGAGCCAGCCAAGUAGCGUGAAGGAUGGCUGCCCUAUGGGUUGUAAACUUCUUUUAUACGGGAAUAAAGUGAGGCACGUGUGCCUUUUUGUAUGUACCGUAUGAAUAAGGAUCGGCUAACUCCGUG
rnacentral:rRNA from 1 species